rnacentral:rRNA from 1 species
CGGCGGACGGGUGAGUAACGCGUGAGUAACCUGCCUCAUACAGGGGGAUAACAGUUGGAAACGGCUGCUAAUACCGCAUAAGCGCACAGUACCGCAUGGUACGGUGUGAAAAACUCCGGUGGUAUGAGAUGGACCCGCGUCUGAUUAGGUAGUUGGUGGGGUAACGGCCUACCAAGCCGACGAUCAGUAGCCGACCUGAGAGGGUGACCGGCCACAUUGGGACUGAGACACGGCCCAG